rnacentral:rRNA from 1 species
CGCGUAGGUGGUUUGGUAAGAUGGAUGUGAAAUCCCCGGGCUCAACCUGGGAACUGCAUCCAUAACUGCCUGACUAGAGUACGGUAGAGGGUGGUGGAAUUUCCUGUGUAGCGGUGAAAUGCGUAGAUAUAGGAAGGAACACCAGUGGCGAAGGCGACCACCUGGACUGAUACUGACACUGAGGUGCGAAAGCGUGGGGAGCAAACA